rnacentral:rRNA from 1 species
UGAUUUUGCCGGGGAGGAAACACCCGUUCCCAUCCCGAACACGGCAGUUAAGCUCCCUAGGGCCGAUGGUAGUCCAUUGGGCGAGAGUAGGUAAUCGCCAGAA